rnacentral:rRNA from 1 species
AGUCUGGUGCCAGCAGCCGCGGUAAUUCCAGCUCCAAUAGCGUAUAUUAAACUUGUUGCAGUUAAAAAGCUCGUAGUUGAAUUUCUGCGUCACCGUAUUUUGACUUUUGUCGACUGUCGGUUUCGCUUUUGGGAUUUAUCCCUUUUUACUUU